rnacentral:tRNA from 1 species
GCACGUAGCGCAGCCUGGUAGCGCACCGUCAUGGGGUGUCGGGGGUCGGAGGUUCAAAUCCUCUCGUGC